UGUAGACCCCCCGAGGAGCUUUGGUUUUUUUUUAGGGUUAUUAUUACUUUUGGGUGCGGCUUCUGACAGGUCUCUCGAGUGGGCUGCUUUGGGGCAGCUAGAGAGGAGGACGACUAGCCACCAGAGGAGACAGGUCUUCUCGUUGCUGUAGAGAGGGGGGAACCGGAGGGCUGAGCAUUUUUCUGGGGAUCUUUCAGCGGGAAAACGGACGGGAGAGGUGGGACUGAGAGAGAGACAUACCGAGGAAACGAGCAGGAAAGUGGAAUAACUCAGGUAUGGAUUCUGAAAACCGGAUUCAUUCAUUUAUUUAUUUUUUGUUUGUUUUUGAUGCCAUGUUAUGAUAGUUUCUAUGCAUGAGGAUUUUCAUUUUUGAUGUCUGAACAUGCAUAUUGUGGAUCCUUGUAAUUUAUUUAUUUUUUCUGGAAUCUGAGCUUACUUUCACCCACUCUGUGCUUGAUUCCUAAUUUCUUUUCUGAGCUCAUUAAUUGAUAUAUGGAGUGAGGCUGGUACGGGUCCAUUUUGCUCCUAUUAUUUGUGCUCUGUUUCGCUGUUUUCCCCUGUUCUUGAAAUGGGUAUUGGGGCCUGGAAACGUGGAAGUCUUAGAUAUUGUUCAUGU
rnacentral:lncRNA from 1 species